rnacentral:rRNA from 1 species
GGAAGGAUCAUUACUAAAUUGUCAACACGAGUUGUUGCUGGUCCUCAAAUGGGGGCAUGUGCACACUCUGUUUGCACAUCCACUCACACCUGUGCACCUUCUGUAGUUCUGUGGCUGGGGGGACUCUGUCCUCCCACCGUGGUUCUGCAUCUUCACACACACACACCGUAAUAAGGUCUCAUGGAAUGUAUACCGCGUUUAACGCAAUAUAAUACAACUUUCAGCAACGGAUCUCUUGGCUCUCGCAUCGAUGAAGAACGCAGCGAAAUGCGAUAAGUAAUGUGAAUUGCAGAAUUCAGUGAAUCAUCGAAUCUUUGAACGCACCUUGCGCCCUUUGGCUAUUCCGAUGGGCAUGCCUGUUUGAGUAUCAUGAACACUUCAACUCUCAUGGUUUGCCAUGAUGAGAUUGGACUUUGGGGGUCUUGCUGGCCUGUUGUCAGCUCCUCUCAAAUGAAUCAGCUUCCCAGUGCUUGGUGGCAUCACAGGUGUGAUAACUAUCUACGCUUGUGAGUCCGUACCAGAUAACCUUCAGUGAUGGGGGUUCACUGGGGCUCAUAAAUGUCUCUCCUCAGUGAGGACAGCUCUUUGAAUGUUUGAUCUCAAAUCAGGUAGGACUACCCGCUGAACUUAAGCAUAUCAAUAAGCGGAGGAAAAGAAACUAACAAGGAUUCCCCUAGUAACUGCGAGUGAAGCGGGAAGAGCUCAAAUUUAAAAUCUGGCGUGCCUCUGGUCGUCCGAGUUGUAGUCUGGAGAAGUGUUUUCCGUGUUGGACCGUGUAUAAGUCUCUUGGAACAGGGCGUCAUAGAGGGUGAGAAUCCCGUCUUUGACACGGACUACCAAUGCUUUGUGAUACGCUCUCAAAGAGUCGAGUUGUUUGGGAAUGCAGCUCAAAAUGGGUGGUAAAUUCCAUCUAAAGCUAAAUAUAGGCGAGAGACCGAUAGCGAACAAGUACCG